rnacentral:rRNA from 1 species
UGGGGAAUCUUGCGCAAUGGGCGAAAGCCUGACGCAGCGACGCCGCGUGAGGGAAGAAGGCCUUCGGGUUGUAAACCUCUUUCAGGAGGGACGAAGCCACUCGGGUUAAUACCCCAGAGGGUGACGGUACCUCCAGAAGAAGCCCCGGCUAACUACGUGCCAGCAGCCGCGGUACUACGUAGGGGGCAAGCGUUGUCCGGAAUUAUUGGGCGUAAAGCGCGUGUAGGCGGCCAGAUAAGUCCGCUGUGAAAUCUCGAGGCUCAACUUCGAGCUGUCGGUGGAAACUGUCUGGCUAGAGUCCGGAAGAGGAGAAUGGAAUUCCUGGUGUAGCGGUGAAAUGCGCAGAUAUCAGGAAGAACACCCGUGGCGAAGGCGGUUCUCUGGGACGGUACUGACGCUGAGACGCGAAAGCGUGGGGAGCGAACAGG